ensembl:lncRNA
GGGAGAGGGACCUCCGCAUUCCUCAUCUCUUGACUGAAAUCUCCCAGCCACUGAGAACUCUAGGUAAUAAAUCGUAACUCGUCUUGGCUGUGUGAAAUCUCUUGUUUCCGGGUGCUAGGGAAAACACUGCCAGGGCUUCAUAAUUUCUGGUGAAAUAUGAGGCAGAGUCAGCCAGGAGUCUCUCAGCUGCACAUACGUGAGACAUUUCAGCUCACACGUCUCCAGCCCUGAAAGCUCGACCAUCGGAACGAGGCGGCUGCCUCUUCUGACUGCAUCCCCGCCACGGUCGUCCUCCAGAGACGGUCAGUCCUCACCGCUGCAGAGAUCCCAAAAGUAUGGAGGGGAUUUCAGCAACUCUAUCAGAGCAGCGGUCCUCUGCUUUUGCACGGUUAUAUCUGCUGGUCAUGUCAAUGUUACACACCAGCUCGGGGGAAGCAGGUCACUGGAGCUUUGCUUUCCAUUCCUGUGAUGGUCAACAGAAAAUCUGGACACUUAGAAUAAAUUAAAC